CAGACUGACGGGACAAAGCAAGCAGUCACAGUAAUCCUAAAGUGGCGACGACAAGAACACACAGUUAUUCGUUCAAAAACCAUCCAGUAAAUUAUAUGGGUCCUCCCCUCCCAGAUUCCAACUGAAUGCAACCCGUCAUUUAGUUGAACUUCCAACGGGACAGAUUCAGUGAAUUUAGUGAACGAAUAUUGGUGCUCACGACAUCAGUUGGGUUUCCAGGAAGAGAAGGACCUCUCACUAGAAGCAGGUCCUCACAGGUGCCUAGGAAGAACAGGUAAACAAUAGGCAAGUCACUGAGACGAAUUAAUGAUCGAAUCUUCUUGGAGUAUGGCGAAGACGUUGGUGUUUCUUGUGGGAUGCAUCGCUUUCUGUUCAUCUGCUCGAGCGGAACACGAUAUCCUGAUCUCUGAAGAUGAAGAAGCGGUUAAUUUCGGUCUGCAAGAAGGAAGUCUUAUUAGACUAGCAUUUUGGACCAGUGACACAAAUACCUCAUUCACCAUUGAAGUGGAAAAGGCCUCAUAUUCGAAGGAUAGCUGGUCUUACCCAUUCAAGGAUUCUCCAAUCGAACCAAGAAUGUGGUAUCUCAUUUGGAUUCAUUUUACGAAUUGGAAUGUGAGCUUCAGUGAAUCCCAGGAACAACUUGAAAUAACAUCAAAUGUAAGAAACCUGACCGUGCAUAUUACAAGCAGAAAAAAGAUCUAUUGGCACCAGUGCCCCGAGUUUAACA